rnacentral:rRNA from 1 species
AGUGAACGCUGGCGGCAUGCCUAACACAUGCAAGUCGAACGAUCUUUGGCAGUUUAUCGUCAGAGGUAGUGGCAAACGGGUGAGUAAUACGUGGACAAUCUUCCCUCGAGCGGGGGAUAACGUAGCGAAAGUUACGCUAAUACCGCAUACGAUCUACGGAUGAAAGCGGGGGAUCGCAAGACCUCGCGCGAAUGGAGCGGCCGAUGUCAGAUUAGGUAGUUGGUGGGGUAAAGGCUCACCAAGCCAACGAUCUGUAGCUGGUCUGAGAGGACGACCAGCCACACUGGAACUGAGACACGGUCCAGACUCCUACGGGAGGCAGCAGUGGGGAAUUUUGGACAAUGGGCGCAAGCCUGAUCCAGCCAUUCCGCGUGCAGGAUGAAGGCCUUCGGGUUGUAAACUGCUUUGUACGGUAACGAAACGGUACUGCCCUAAUACGGCGGGCUAAUGACGGUACCGUAAGAAUAAGCACCGGCUAACUACGUGCCAGCAGCCGCG